rnacentral:rRNA from 1 species
GACGAACGCUGGCGGCGUGCCUAAUACAUGCAAGUUGAGCGCUGAAGGUUGGUACUUGUACCAACUGGAUGAGCAGCGAACGGGUGAGUAACGCGUGGGGAAUCUGCCUUUGAGCGGGGGACAACAUUUGGAAACGAAUGCUAAUACCGCAUAAAAACUUUAAACACAAGUUUUAAGUUUGAAAGAUGCAAUUGCAUCACUCAAAGAUGAUCCCGCGUUGUAUUAGCUAGUUGGUGAGGUAAAGGCUCACCAAGGCGAUGAUACAUAGCCGACCUGAGAGGGUGAUCGGCCAAAUUGGGAAUGGGACACGGCCCAAACUCCUACGGGGGGCAGCAGUAGGGAAACUUCGGCAAUGGACGAAAGUCUGACCGAGCAACGCCGCGUGAGUGAAGAAGGUUUUCGGAUCGUAAAACUCUGUUGGUAGAGAAGAACGUUGGUGAGAGUGGAAAGCUCAUCAAGUGACGGUAACUACCCAGAAAGGGACGGCUAACUACGUG